rnacentral:rRNA from 1 species
AUGGAAGAGAAAAGCUUAGUAAAAGGUGGUGAGAGGCGUCUGCCACGGUCACCGAGUGGCAUCAUUGGGGGUCUUUGUAGGUUAAAUUAUCCUGGACUGGUCACAUUGCCGAACGGUAUCAUUGAGCCAGCUUGGUCAUGGGAUCACUACAAACUUGCACCGGAUUUCCUGGAUAUGCGUCAGAGGGUUUAUGAUAAUAGAGCCAUGCGACUGGUCAACGAUUUCUGGGAUUUCUAUACAUGCGUUGAGGGUCAGAAGGAUCGUGCAAAUGUGGUGGUUGAGAAUAUUGCCAAGAAACUAGUCCACGACAUGCACUAUGAGGAGCGCGUCCGGUUAGUGGUCAAGUAUCACGCGGAUUAUCUCAACCAUAGGAUUUCCAAACAGGAGGCUUGA